UAUUAGCGAUUCAAGUUCAUCUCCAAGCCACCUAUCGGAAGAAACUGUAAUAUCGGCUCAAGUGUUCGAGGAGUUAUAAGAGUUGUGUUCUAGAGUUUCAUCAUUUAUCUAAUAUUUAUUUCAACAUUAUGGAUAGUGAUUACUGCCCUAAAAUAACGAAAUCAAAGGUGUUUUGUUGUGUUUAUGGAUGCAACAGUAGAGCAAACAGAGAACCCGUUUCAUUUAAUAAGUGGAAAUAGAAUAACUGGAAUUUUAUUUCAAAAAAAUAUUUUAAUUUUUCAAUUAUUCAUUACAAAUAUGGUGUAACAUUUUCUCAAUUUAGUUUUUUUUCAAAGAAGUUAACAUAUUAUAUGUGUAUUCUUCAUCAAAGGGCACCUUAAUUUCAAUGAAUGAAUUAUUGCUUGAAAAAUAAAUAAUAAAGUGGCAAAUGUCUAAAUUUAGGAUUGCAAUUCCCACCUGCACCUGUGCAAAGUAUUUAUGUUUUUUUUCAGUUCAUAAUUAUUAUUCUCUUUUAUAAUAUAUUUACAAUUCCCCAAGUCAGAGGCUUGCUUUGCUGAAAUAUAAAGAUAUAUUUUUUUUAAUAUUAUUUUCAAGAUGUUGAUGAAGAAUUUGUUACCUUUGAAUGGACACUUUAUUUCUAAAAGACCAUAGGGCUUGCCAUUCUUUAACAAAAUUCCGUCAGCAGAAUAUGCCAGCCAUGGUUCACUUCUACAUAUCACAAGACCUAUUUUUUGUAUAGAAAACCCUGAAACCUUUUCGGGCCAUUGGCUCGCAUUUAAUGCUAUGUUUUGUAUAGAUAUUCGAAAAAU